UACGUAGGGGGCAAGCGUUGUCCGGAUUUAUUGGGCGUAAAGAGCGUGUAGGCGGCCUGGAAGGUCAGCUGUGAAAACUCGAGGCUCAACCUCGAGACGUCGGUUGAAACCACCUGGCUAGAGUCCGGAAGAGGAGUGUGGAAUUCCUGGUGUAGCGGUGAAAUGCGCAGAUAUCAGGAGGAACACCAGUGGCGAAGGCGACUUCCUGGCCUGUUCUUGACGCUGAGGCGCGAAAGCUAGGGGAGCAAACGGG
rnacentral:rRNA from 1 species